rnacentral:rRNA from 1 species
UACGUAGGGUGCAAGCGUUGUCCGGAAUUAUUGGGCGUAAAGAGCUCGUAGGCGGUCUGUCGCGUCUGCUGUGAAAACUCGGGGCUUAACCCCGGGCCUGCAGUGGGUACGGGCAGACUAGAGUGCGGUAGGGGAGACUGGAAUUCCUGGUGUAGCGGUGGAAUGCGCGGAUAUCAGGAGGAACACCGGUGGCGAAGGCGGGUCUCUGGGCCGUUACUGACGCUGAGGAGCGAAAGCGUGGGGAGCGAACAGG